rnacentral:rRNA from 1 species
GCAGCAGGCGCGCAAAUUACCCACUCCCGGCACGGGGAGGUAGUGACGAAAAAUAACGAUACGGGACUCAUCCGAGGCCCCGUAAUCGGAAUGAGUACACUCUAANCCCUUUAACGAGGAUCAAUUGGAGGGCAAGUCUGGUGCCAGCAGCCGCGGUAAUUCCAGCUCCAAUAGCGUAUAUUAAAGUUGUUGCGGUUAAAAAGCUCGUAGUCGAAUUUGUGUCUCGCGCCGACGGUUCAUCGUUCGCGGUGUUAACUGGCGUGCCGCGAGACGUCCUGCCGGCGGGCUUAGCUCGCAAGAGCGGCCCAAUUCAAUCCCGCCGCGGUGCUCUUCAUUGAGUGUCGAGGUGGGCCGGCACGUUUACUUUGAACAAAUUAGAGUGCUUAAAGCAGGCUAAAAUUUCGUCUGAAUACUGUGUGCAUGGAAUAAUGAAACAGGACCUCGGUUCUAUUUUGUUGGUUUUCGGAACCCCGAGGUAAUGAUCAACAGGAACGGAUGGGGGCAUUCGUAUUGCGACGUUAGAGGUGAAAUUCUUGGAUCGUCGCAAGACGGACAGAAGCGAAAGCAUUUGCCAAAAACGUUUUCAUUGAUCAAGAACGAAAGUUAGAGGUUCGAAGGCGAUCAGAUACCGCCCUAGUUCUAACUAUAAACGAUGCCAGCUAGCGAUCCGCCGACGUUCCUCCGAUGACUCGGCGGGCAGCUUCCGGGAAACCAAAGCUUUUGGGUUCCGGGGGAAGUAUGGUUGCAAAGCUGAAACUUAAAGGAAUUGACGGAAGGGCACCACCAGGAGUGGAGCCUGCGGCUUAAUUUGACUCAACACGGGAAACCUCACCAGGCCCGGACACCGGAAGGAUUGACAGAUUGAGAGCUCUUUCUUGAUUCGGUGGGUGGUGGUGCAUGGCCGU